UUAACACAUGCAAGUCGAACGGAAAGGCCCUGCUUUUGUGGGGUGCUCGAGUGGCGAACGGGUGAGUAACACGUGAGUAACCUGCCCUUGACUUUGGGAUAACUUCAGGAAACUGGGGCUAAUACCGGAUAGGAGCUCCUGCUGCAUGGUGGGGGUUGGAAAGUUUCGGCGGUUGGGGAUGGACUCGCGGCUUAUCAGCUUGUUGGUGGGGUAGUGGCUUACCAAGGCUUUGACGGGUAGCCGGCCUGAGAGGGUGACCGGCCACAUUGGGACUGAGAUACGGCCCAGACUCCUACGGGAGGCAGCAGUGGGGAAUAUUGCACAAUGGGCGGAAGCCUGAUGCAGCAACGCCGCGUGCGGGAUGACGGCCUUCGGGUUGUAAACCGCUUUCGCCUGUGACGAAGCGUGAGUGACGGUAAUGGGUAAAGAAGCACCGGCUAACUACGUGCCAGCAGCCGCGGUGAUACGUAGGGUGCGAGCGUUGUCCGGAUUUAUUGGGCGUAAAGGGCUCGUAGGUGGUUGAUCGCGUCGGAAGUGUAAUCUUGGGGCUUAACCCUGAGCGUGCUUUCGAUACGGGUUGACUUGAGGAAGGUAGGGGAGAAUGGAAUUCCUGGUGGAGCGGUGGAAUGCGCAGAUAUCAGGAGGAACACCAGUGGCGAAGGCGGUUCUCUGGGCCUUUCCUGACGCUGAGGAGCGAAAGCGUGGGGAGCGAACAGGCUUAGAUACCCUGGUAGUCCACGCUGUAAACGGUGGGUACUAGGUGUGGGGUCCAUUCCACGGGCUCCGUGCCGUAGCUAACGCUUUAAGUACCCCGCCUGGGGAGUACGGCCGCAAGGCUAAAACUCAAAGGAAUUGACGGGGCCCCGCACAAGCGGCGGAGCAUGCGGAUUAAUUCGAUGCAACGCGUAGAACCUUACCUGGGUUUGACAUGGAUCGGGAGUGCUCAGAGAUGGGUGUGCCUCUUUUGGGGUCGGUUCACAGGUGGUGCAUGGCUGUCGUCAGCUCGUGUCGUGAGAUGUUGGGUUAAGUCCCGCAACGAGCGCAACCCUUGUUCACUGUUGCCAGCACGUUAUGGUGGGGACUCAGUGGAGACCGCCGGGGUCAACUCGGAGGAAGGUGGGGAUGACGUCAAGUCAUCAUGCCCCUUAUGUCCAGGGCUUCACGCAUGCUACAAUGGCUGGUACAGAGAGUGGCGAGCCUGUGAGGGUGAGCGAAUCUCGGAAAGCCGGUCUCAGUUCGGAUUGGGGUCUGCAACUCGACCUCAUGAAGUCGGAGUCGCUAGUAAUCGCAGAUCAGCAACGCUGCGGUGAAUACGUUCCCGGGGCUUGUACACACCGCCCGUCAAGUCAUGAAAGUUGGUAACACCCGAAGCCGGUGGCCUAACCGUUGUGGGGGAGCCGUCGAAGGUGGGACUGGUGAUUAGGACUAA
rnacentral:rRNA from 1 species